UACGUAGGGUGCAAGCGUUAAUCGGAAUUACUGGGCGUAAAGCGUGCGCAGGCGGUUUUGUAAGUCUGUCGUGAAAUCCCCGGGCUCAACCUGGGAAUUGCGAUGGAGACUGCAAGGCUAGAAUCUGGCAGAGGGGGGUAGAAUUCCACGUGUAGCAGUGAAAUGCGUAGAGAUGUGGAGGAACACCGAUGGCGAAGGCAGCCCCUGGGUCAAGAUUGACGCUCAUGCACGAAAGGCGUGGGAGCAAACAGG
rnacentral:rRNA from 1 species